rnacentral:rRNA from 1 species
UACGGGGGGAGCAAGCGUUGUUCGGAUUUACUGGGCGUAAAGGGCGCGUAGGCGGCCACCGCAAGUCAAUUGUGAAAUCUCCGGGCUUAACUCGGAAAGGUCAACUGAUACUGCGGGGCUAGAGUGCGGAAGGGGCAACUGGAAUUCUCGGUGUAGCGGUGAAAUGCGCAGAUAUCAGGAAGAACACCAAUGGCGAAGGCAGCUCUCUGGGACGGUACUGACGCUGAGACGCGAAAGCGUGGGGAGCGAACAGG